rnacentral:rRNA from 1 species
GACGAACGCUGGCGGCGUGCUUAACACAUGCAAGUCGAACGCUGAAGCCCAGCUUUUGUUGGGUGGAUGAGUGGCGAACGGGUGAGUAACACGUGAGUAACCUGCCCCCUUCUUUGGGAUAACGCCCGGAAACGGGUGCUAAUACUGGAUAUUCACUGGUCUUCGCAUGGGGGUUGGUGGAAAGGGUUUUUCUGGUGGGGGAUGGGCUCGCGGCCUAUCAGCUUGUUGGUGGGGUGAUGGCCUACCAAGGCUUUGACGGGUAGCCGGCCUGAGCGGGUGACCGGUCACAUAGGGACUGCGAUACGGCCCAGACUGCGACGCGAGGCAGCAGUGGGGAAGAUUGAGCAAUGGGCGAAAGCCUGAUGCAGCGACGCCGCGGGAGGGAUGGAGGCCUUCGGGUUGUGAAGCUCUUUCGCUCAUGGUCAAGCCGCAACAAUGGUUGUGGUGAGGGUAGUGGGUAAAGAAGCGCCGGCUAACUACGUG